GACGAACGCUGGCGGCGUGCUUAACACAUGCAAGUCGAACGGAAAGGCCCUGCUUUUGUGGGGUGCUCGAGUGGCGAACGGGUGAGUAACACGUGAGUAACCUGCCCUUGACUUUGGGGUAACUUCAGGAAACUGGGGCUAAUACCGGAUAGGAGCUCCUGCUGCAUGGUGGGGGUUGGAAAGUUUCGGCGGUUGGGGAUGGACUCGCGGCUUAUCAGCUUGUUGGUGGGGUAGUGGCUUACCAAGGCUUUGACGGGUAGCCGGCCUGAGAGGGUGACCGGCCACAUUGGGACUGAGAUACGGCCCAGACUCCUACGGGAGGCAGCAGUGGGGAAUAUUGCACAAUGGGCGGAAGCCUGAUGCAGCAACGCCGCGUGCGGGAUGACGGCCUUCGGGUGGUAAACCGCUUUCGCCUGUGACGAAGCGUGAGUGACGGUAAUGGGUAAAGAAGCACCGGCUAACUACGU
rnacentral:rRNA from 1 species